UGCUGGGGGUGGGCUGCCUAGACCUUCCCCACCUCCUUUCUCAUGCUUCUUUCUCUUUACUCUCUCCAACUUCUCCCAGUCCCAUUUCCCACUUCUUAGGGCCUGAUUCUCAGCUAGCUGCCAAGUACUGCCAAAUGCUAGCCACUAACAGUUCACAGGGCUCUCCCUUCCUGGGGGCACUUUGGAUUUUGUUUCAAUAAAAUUGACUCUGGGGACUUGAGAAUCUUCAAAAAGCCAAUUUAAGGUAUUGCUCAGAGGGUCCAGGUGGUUGUAUGAGGUCAUACGCAGGCCUCUGGAAACAACCAAGGCAUGUACAUAAGUGGGACAAUCACAUCCGGACGUCCUUUUUGAAUAGACACAGGUUGGUGGGUGUGGAACACUGAGAAGUGUCAGCCGGACCCUGCUGCCCAGGAAGCCGGGGUAAAUGAGAGUGUCUGUCCUGGGUGCUCUUCCCCUGCAGUGUAAGUGCUAGGGAGGCACACGUGUUAGUAGUUAGCAGUCAGGAUGGUUGGCAGCAGCUGAGUGUUAGGUGCUGAGUUAACACCACUCCUAACCUGCGGAAGAGGAGCCCAGAGUGAAGGCCUCGUUCCUUGGAGGACCCAAGAGCUCUGGACUGUGAGAGUUACGGGCACUCUGAAUCCUAGCCCUGCCCCUCUACUCGUAAUCUCUCUGAACCAGAGUUUCCUCUCUGUAAAGGGGGAGGGUAUUGAUAGUGCUGUGGGAACCCCCAUGUUUUAUCUCCUUUCCCUUUUGAGAAGGCCUGGGGUGUGAGGAACCGGACAUUCAAAACUCUUGGCACUGGGCCUCCCAGCAACAACUUCUGCCUGAGGAGACAACACAGGCCAUGGUACCUGGGGUGUCUCAGCGGUACCUGCAUUUUUCUGAGCAGUUGAUGCGGCUCUUAUAGGAAAGACAUCUUGGUGAGGAACUCCCAGGACCAUUCCCUAUGUUGGACCUAGAGUUUCCCAAGUGGAUGCUUGUCACUGGGCUUUCUUUGUUCACUGGACCACUGCUGGGUAAGGGAACAGGAAUUUCCCCUGGAGUUGCUGUUUUCCAAGGUGGUCAGCUAUGUUUGUUUCUUGGGCUAGUGAAUGAAAUGGUAUAUGUGAAGGCACAAGGAAAGGUAUCAAGUGCUAAAAAAGGAAAAAAAAAAAAAGAGGAGACUUGGUUAUAAACUUGACUGAUGCAACUUGAUUAUAGCAUAGCCCCUGGUUUUGAGCUCCGAGCUGUGUUUGAAAUGAAAAGGUGUGAUUUCCCCUUGGGUCCUGUGUGUUUAAAGGAUGGAUGGGUACUUGUUCGUGGGCAGCCCAACCCCGCUGGCCCAGGGCCCACCAGGCCUGAAGGUCGAGAAGGAGUGCUGCUGGCCUUCCCUCCCCACCAGCCUCGCAUCUGCCCUUGUUCACGAGUCUGUUCCUUCCCUGACACAACAAAAGGACUGUUUGCUGAGAAGCUGUGAGCUGUUAGGACAAGUCCACCCGCCCUUCUUCACAACUGGUCUUCUCCUUUUAGGGACCUGCCUGGAGUGGAGAGAAACUGUGACCCCCGAUUCUGCCCUCUGGGAUGGGAUCGUCCUCCUUCCUCCCCACAGGCCCCAGUGGACAGACAGAUGGCCCAGGAGAGCAUCUGGGGCGCCAUCCGCAGGCUGGGAGAUGACCCCAAAACCUCAUGCAGAUCAAGGAUCAUCAGGCUAUGUGCAACCCUCUUCAUGGGCUCCACAUGGUCUGAGCACAUAGACACGAAAACCCUCCACCCCAUGCUGACUAUGGCAGGUGGAAUAGGAGCAGGAUAACUGCAAUGAGGACUCCCAUUCAGAGAAAAGAAGCAUGGCAACACAUCUGGCACUGGUUCAUGACAACGAUCAGAUGCUGAUGGGCUGGAGGAGGGAGCCCCCCUACCCCGGCAGUGGAGCUUUGUCCAUCGUCCAUGUCUCUGGGCUUUUCCUUCUGGGAGGCUCUUAUCCCCCAUGGCUACCCCUGAAACAGGCAUUGGUGAGAGGGGCCCCUGGGAGCUUCAGAGUGUUCACCUCUACCUUCUGCUGCUGCAGAUUGUGGAUCCCAGCGAUUGUAUUAGGAAUAAUGGUCAUAGUCAGUACUUUUUAUUGUUUGUUCAGUGCUUUCAAAAAAAAAACUUAGCAGGCUUUCAAUCUAUCUGCUUCUGAUCAGUUUCUUAUAUAAAAUCCACAACUACAGACCUACUGCAGCCAUCAUUCUAACACUGCAGGGGAACCAGGGGGGACUUGAGAAAGUUAAAUUCAAACUUGCCCUGUGCCUAACCACACUGCAGUUUACUUUGAUGUGAAGACCUUUAGAGUGAUAUGUAAGGGCAUCUCUUCCCAGAGCUCCCCUCUCCCUUUGCAGUCUGGGACUUCAACUGGAAGAUAGACAAUGAAGAUACACAUCUGACUUGCUCCCACACUUGUGUCCUUUCUCACCUCUUCCCCGCCAUCCUCCAGACCUGAGAUCAGGGCUCUCCUGUCUGUUCUCCUCUUUAGAUAAAGCUCUAAGGUCAGUUCUGUCAGGCUGGCUUCUUGAUAUAUUACAGAGAAAGUUAAAGACAUCCAGAAUAUCCUUUUUCUUAAUAAAGACUGUCUUUCAAGACCA